UUUAAAGAGAGUUUGAUCCUGGCUCAGGACGAACGCUGGCGGCGUGCCUAAUACAUGCAAGUCGAACGAACGGAGGAAGAGCUUGCUCUUCCAAAGUUAGUGGCGGACGGGUGAGUAACACGUGGGCAACCUGCCUGUAAGUUGGGGAUAACUCCGGGAAACCGGGGCUAAUACCGAAUGAUAAAGUGUGGCGCAUGCCACGCUUUUGAAAGAUGGUUUCGGCUAUCGC
rnacentral:rRNA from 1 species